CUAGCGUGCCGAAGCUUCACAGCUGGAACGUGUGCCUUGCCUAGCAGGAUGCUGAUACUGUCGGUAGUGUCCUUUCUGCUAUCUGGCAGGUUAGUUUACCUUUAAGCGGAACGGUUACGCGGCCCCAUUCUACAUUGUGUUUUCGUGUGACGUAGCGUUGCUUUCCAACUCAAGAAGUAUUACACUAGAAUAGAGAUAUAGUCAUGUAAGGGGUUUGUUUCGUUCGUGUAAUCUACAACCCAAAGUGAAUGAAAUUAUCCACCAAACCACGGCUUUGGUUGGCCGGGUUUGUUUCGUCUGUGUAAAACAACCGAACCAAGAGCUCUCCAGCAGAACGAACAGCAGCCGCAUAAAAUGUACGACACCCAUUGUUGGGUUUAUUAGUGGCCAACGAACAAGCAUCGCUACUCACAUACGAGCAUCUUGGCCUGGUUUGGUUAGUUCCGAAGCCUUCGGAGUAGCGUCUAAUCAAGCCCCCCCAACCCACACCGACAGCAUUACCCCGUGUGACAAACGCUCGCCAGUGAUAAUGGAACACGCUCAUCAAUUAGUAAAGGUGACGAAUUUCAUGCUACACUUGAUGCUGCUGCUACCACUGCAGACAACAACGACCAGCAGUGGCAGCGGUGGAAAUCCACCAAUGAAUACCAACGCCAUCGUUGGUGCGUCUGGUGUGGCGGGAAAAUCUUCCACUGAUUUCGUCGGCCCGAUCGGUACGAUCGCGAGCAGCGGGCGCGAAAGGUCGCACUUAAAAGGAACUGGAGGCUGCAAUCGAGUAGUGUUCAGCUCAAGUCGCAUCCGGAACGGCAGUAUCGCACCAUCCCAUUCGAAACAUUCCGGUCUGUUUCCAUCGAGUUUGUGCCAGCUGUACGAGUUCGUGGGCGAUGGUGCGGAACGUGUUCAGAUCAUCUUUUCGGAGUUCCGGCUUCCGUCGAAGCUUGGCCCAACCGAAUGCGGUGACACGGAUAUCCUAAUGGUAAUUAAUUUUCACUUACAUACCAUUCCUUCGGUGUGGCAUCGUACCGUUCUUGUCUUUUAUCCAAACGCCUGCCAAACCAACGAUCUGCUACCACGCGUCUGGUUUACUACAUCGUUAACGACCGCGAGGAGCUGGUGGAAACACUCUGCGGUGACACACUUCCUAAGCCGAUACUUUCCGACGGUCCACGGUUACUGCUGGAACUACGCAGCAGCUACAACAAUACGGAAAACAAGGGAUUUACGGGAGAUUUUUUCUUUCUCACAAAUUUUGGCAUACCUGCCGGAUAUCAACCGAACCAGUCUGAGUGCACCUUUCACUACUUUCGGAACGUCACCAGCCAAGGAUGGAUUCAGUCACCGAACUUCCCCGGAGCUUAUCCAAGAAACAUCAUCUGUAACUAUUUCUUUCACGGCAGACCCAACGAUUUCGUCCACGUGCGUUUCACAUACUUCGACAUCGAAGGAAUACGACCCUGCGACGAGGACACUGCCAGCGAUUACGUGGAGUUUUCUAAUUUUGUCACGCGCGAUCGCAAAUACGCCAUGUACUGUGGUAACUGGCGUGAGCUUGUGGUACGCUCGGAUGGCCGUUUCUUUCGCAUUACGAUGGCAUCGAACGAUCGUCUGGAUGGGACCGGGUUUCGGGCACUGUACACGUUCGAAACGGUACAGAUCGAGACGACGGAGCGGAUCGAGGAAGCGUCGAUUGGCAAGGUCACUACGACCAGUGCCGCCGGCAGGCUGUGCGGCUUACUGUACCCGGUUACACUGUUUACGGCAGCUUCCUCAACUACCGGCCUGACAAAAAUCAUCAUCAUUAGUAUCAUUAGUAGCUACAAGUUAAUAAAAUUUCGUCAAGACUGAUGUUCUAGCACAUUUCGGCGCUUGUGUGGAUUGUGAACAUGCAUAAAAUAAAUAGUUCAGAAUUUCGCUAAAAGUAUAUGGAAAACCGAAUGAUGAAAAUGGUCAAGCGAAUCUUUGAAAAGGACUGUGCAUGAGCAUUCUACUCUAAAAGAAAAUAAUUUUAAUGUAUAUUAUUAAUGAUAGAAAUGAAUGAAUGAACAAUUGUAAUGUUAGAACACGUGAAACUUUUUACACUGUACAAAUAAAGAUUUUAAAUUUCACUG